rnacentral:rRNA from 1 species
CGGAGGAUCCAAGCGUUGUCCGGAUUUAUUGGGUUUAAAGGGUGCGUAGGCGGAUCUUUAAGUCAGUGGUGAAAGCCUGCAGCUUAACUGUAGAACAGCCAUUGAAACUGAAGAUCUUGAAUGUGGUUAAAGUAGGCGGAAUGUAUCAUGUAGCGGUGAAAUGCUUAGAUAUGAUACAGAACACCGAUAGCGAAGGCAGCUUGCUGAACCAUUAUUGACGCUGAGGCACGAAAGCGUGGGGAGCGAACAGGAUUAGAUACCCUGGUAGUCCACGCCCUAAACGUUGAUUACUCGUUGUUGGCGAUAUACUGUCAGCGACCAAGCUAAAGCGUUAAGUAAUCCACCUGGGAAGUACGACCGCAAGGUUG